GAUGAACGCUGGCGGCGUGCCUAAUACAUGCAAGUCGAGCGAACAGAUGAGGAGCUUGCUCCUCUGACGUUAGCGGCGGACGGGUGAGUAACACGUGGAUAACCUACCUAUAAGACUGGGAUAACUUCGGGAAACCGGAGCUAAUACCGGAUAAUAUAUUGAACUGCAUGGUUCAAUAGUGAAAGACGGUUUUGCUGUCACUUAUAGAUGGAUCCGCGCCGCAUUAGCUAGUUGGUAAGGUAACGGCUUACCAAGGCAACGAUGCGUAGCCGACCUGAGAGGGUGAUCGGCCACACUGGAACGGAGACACGGUCCAGACUCCUACGGGAGGCAGCAGUAGGGAAUCUUCCGCAAUGGGCGAAAGCCUGACGGAGCAACGCCGCGUGAGUGAUGAAGGUCUUCGGAUCGUAAAACUCUGUUAUUAGGGAAGAACAAAUGUGUAAGUAACUAUGCACGUCUUGACGGUACCUAAUCAGAAAGCCACGGCUAACUACGUG
rnacentral:rRNA from 1 species